CACAUGCAAGUCGAACGAUGAAGCCCAGCUUGCUGGGUGGAUUAGUGGCGAACGGGUGAGUAACACGUGAGUAACCUGCCCUUGACUUCGGGAUAACUCCGGGAAACCGGGGCUAAUACUGGAUAUGAGCCGUCCUCGCAUGGGGGUGGUUGGAAAGUUUUUCGGUCAGGGAUGGGCUCGCGGCCUAUCAGCUUGUUGGUGGGGUGAUGGCCUACCAAGGCGACGACGGGUAGCCGGCCYGAGAGGGCGACCGGCCACACUGGGACUGAGACACGGCCCAGACUCCUACGGGAGGCAGCAGUGGGGAAUAUUGCACAAUGGGCGCAAGCCUGAUGCAGCGACGCCGCGUGAGGGAUGAAGGCCUUCGGGUUGUAAACCUCUUUCAGCAGGGAAGAAGCGCAAGUGACGGUACCUGCAGAAGAAGCGCCGGCUAACUACGUGCCAGCAGCCGCGGUAAUACGUAGGGCGCAAGCGUUGUCCGGAAUUAUUGGGCGUAAAGAGCUCGUAGGCGGUUUGUCGCGUCUGGUGUGAAAACUCGAGGCUCAACCUCGAGCUUGCAUCGGGUACGGGCAGACUAGAGUGCGGUAGGGGAGACUGGAAUUCCUGGUGUAGCGGUGGAAUGCGCAGAUAUCAGGAGGAACACCGAUGGCGAAGGCAGGUCUCUGGGCCGCAACUGACGCUGAGGAGCGAAAGCAUGGGGAGCGAACAGGAUUAGAUACCCUGGUAGUCCAUGCCGUAAACGUUGGGCACUAGGUGUGGGGCUCAUUCCACGAGUUCCGUGCCGCAGCAAACGCAUUAAGUG
rnacentral:rRNA from 1 species